UGCUCACUUCAGCAGCACAUUAAAAUUGGAAUGAUACAGAGGAGAUUAGCAUGGCCCCUGUGCAAGAACAACAUGCAAAUUCAUGAAGCAUUCUAUAUUGUU
ensembl:snRNA U6 U6 spliceosomal RNA